rnacentral:rRNA from 1 species
GUGCCUAAUACAUGCAAGUCGAGCGAACGGACGAGAGUGCUUGCACUCUCUGAUGUUAGCGGCGGACGGGUGAGUAACACGUGGGUAACCUACCUAUAAGACUGGGAUAACUUCGGGAAACCGGAGCUAAUACCGGAUAAUAUUUAGCUUCGCAUGAAGCAAUAGUGAAAGACGGUUCUGCUGUCACUUAUAGAUGGACCCGCGGUGUAUUAGCUAGUUGGUGAGGUAACGGCUCACCAAGGCAACGAUACAUAGCCGACCUGAGAGGGUGAUCGGCCACACUGGGACUGAGACACGGCCCAGACUCCUACGGGAGGCAGCAGUAGGGAAUCUUCCGCAAUGGACGAAAGUCUGACGGAGCAACGCCGCGUGAGUGAAGAAGGUUUUCGGAUCGUAAAACUCUGUUGUAAGGGAAGAACAAGUACGUUAGUAACUGAACGUACCUUGACGGUACCUUACCAGAAAGCCACGGCUAACUACGUGCCAGCAGCCGCGGUAAUACGUAGGUGGCAAGCGUUAUCCGGAAUUAUUGGGCGUAAAGCGCGCGUAGGCGGUCUCUUAAGUCUGAUGUGAAAGCCCCCGGCUCAACCGGGGAGGGUCAUUGGAAACUGGGAGACUUGAGUGCAGAAGAGGAGAGUGGAAUUCCAUGUGUAGCGGUGAAAUGCGCAGAGAUAUGGAGGAACACCAGUGGCGAAGGCGGCUCUCUGGUCUGUAACUGACGCUGAGGUGCGAAAGCGUGGGGAUCAAACAGGAUUAGAUACCCUGGUAGUCCACGCCGUAAACGAUGAGUGCUAAGUGUUGGGGGGUUUCCGCCCCUCAGUGCUGCAGCUAACGCAUUAAGCACUCCGCCUGGGGGGUACGGUCGCAAGACUGAAACU